UCCUUCAGCUAGCAGCGGCAGCGGCGAGAAGGGUGCUGGCGGGGAUGGGUCGUCUUCCCGCCCACUGGAAGGCCCCGAGGGAAAGCCUCCGGCUCUGAGGGAGGCUGGGGGGUGGGGGGACGGACGCUGCCGCCGCCAUGUUGGACUGGAGGGACGCACGCUCUCAACGCUUUCCGUCUGCAAAUCACGGCGGGAGCGCUUCGGCCCUCUGUGUUUUGAUCCUGUCCUUGGAACCUGAGGCGACGUGCGGCUCCCGGGGCAAGAUCUUUCAGCGAGGCCUCGGGCCAGUCGUCUCGUCGCCUCGUGCCUCAGUUUCCCCAUCCACGGAGUGGAGCUGGGCCUUCUGACUCACCCAUUCAUCAGGUGGAGGCCUUGACGCCCUGGGAGCCCUUUCAAAAGGACGUUGCCUUCCACGAAAUUCUGCUUAUCUUCAUUCCCUCUGUCGUAACUACCCGAAUUCCAUUUGGGGGUGUUUGCAUAUAAUUCAGCUUCCUCUUCACCCUUUGUCAUUCUCCCAUCAGUUUUUUCUCUCCUGCAAGAGCUUGAAAGAGCUUUUUCUAUUAUCGACAGGCUCCUGUAAGGUACAUACGGCGUUUACCUUAAAACAUACCAAAGAAAGGCAAUCUUCAAUAAAGUAUUUAAAUUGAUAGAGUCCCCCCCAUUGUGUGGAAGAGGAAAAGAGGCAUUGGUCUCUAAAUCACAGCCAGUUUAGAUCCUGCUAACCCAGAAUAUAAAGUCUGGAACAUGUGUGUUCUCAUAAUUUAGUUACUAGCUGACCGCACAAGGUCCUCUGUUGUUGGGUGCAUCACUGGCUGCAAAGACUCAACAACCACUUGCUAGAAACCAUGAGAGUUAGAUACCACUUUUCAGGUGGAAAAAGAGAACAUUUCCUUGAAGCCAUAUGGUUGGGAUGAAAAUGACUUCUGACAGAAUCUUUACAUUUUUUUUAAGGGAGAGCCUGUUGAUAUUUAAAUAAAAGCCCCCAGUAAUCCAUUCUUGCAGAAGGAUGGAAAUGUGUGACCAAAAAGAAAGCAGUAGGCUAAGAAGCGACCAAAUUAUAGGGUAUGGACAGAAGAACGAUAAACAUUCCUUAGAUUAACAUUGAUCUUAAGCCAGAAUAUUGAUCUUUUGGGAGAAGGGCAUUUUUAAUGUUUCUUUCCAUUUAAUCCUCAAACAAAUAGUUCCUUACCCCGAAGUAGACAUUGGUACAUAUUUUACCAGGUGCAUAAUUUGGAAUGAAGUCUGGUAAAGCUCCACAGAAGUACAUAGAAGUACACCCUCAGGCAGAUGUGUAACCCAUCCAUGGUUAAAAAGAAAAAUUCUUGGAUUCUCAUGGCAAAAUUUAUGGCUUUCAGUGGAAACAGUGCUCAUUAAAACCUUGGCCUGUCUUGAUUUUUAACGUAAUUGUUGGUAUAAAAUGAUGGCUUACUUUUAUAGGACUAGGUAGCUUUUAUGGAAAAUUAAAUUUUAGAGGUUUACUGUUUGUAAAAUUUAGGAUUUUCAUUGUGUCAAAUUAGUAUGUGAGCUGGUUUACCUGUUAGUACUGAUAUUCAAAUUACUAGGACACUAGAUGUUUGUCACUUUUAAUUUGAGGGUUUUUUUAAAAUAUCAAAGAUUGGCUUUCACCUGUGAAAAGAAUGAUUUAAUAACAUUGUUUCUAAAUUAAAAGUAGAAUCUUUUUAGUGUUAUAUAUUUACAUUUUGUAAUGUGUAUAAAAAAUAAUACUUUUGACUUUGUAUAAUAAUAGGAGUAAUGCUUUUGACUUGUUUUUCAGUGAAUGCUUAAGUUAAUAAAUUUAACAGUAAAGUCCGUUCCCUCAACAGCUAAUGGCAUUAAGUUAGGUUAAGUCCUUUAAACAUUCCAAACUACACUUAGAAAUUUAUCAUAUUGACUCAACCACUCCAGAUGCCUGACAGGGCAGAAUUAUAAAACCUAAUAACAUAUAAACACUUAAUGUAAUCAAUAAAGUAGUAAAUGUUGUCAGACUCUCAGA